AUUGAACGCUGGCGGCAGGCCUAACACAUGCAAGUCGAACGAGUGGCGGACGGGUGAGUAAUGUCUGGGAAACUGCCUGAUGGAGGGGGAUAACUACCGGACACGGUAGCUAAUACCGCAUACCAUCAGAUGUGCCCAGAUUGGAUUAGCUAGUUGGUGGGGUGACGGCUCACCAAGGCGACGAUGCCUAGCUGGUCUGAGAGGAUGACCGGCGACACUCGAACUGAGACCCGGUCCAGACUCCUGCGGGAGGCAGCAGUGGGGAGUAUUGCCCAAUGGGCGAAAGCCUGAUGCAGCCAUGCGGGGUGUAUGAAGAAGGCCUUCGGGUUGUAAAGUACUUUCAGCGGGGAGGCGUUACCCGCAGAAGAAGCACCGGCUAACGCCGUGCCAGCAGCCGCGGUAAUAC
rnacentral:rRNA from 1 species